GCCCUGGUGGUACAGUGGUUAAAGUGCUCAGCUGCUAACUGAGAGGUCAUUGGUUCAAGCCUUUCCACUGUA
rnacentral:tRNA from 1 species